GAUACAGCACUUCAGGAAUACAGGAGAGGUGUCAUUUCACCAAAAGAAUAUAAGGCAUUGCCAGCAGCAUGGGACUACAGAACCACGCAGGAAAAAGAGAGAACAACAGAAAAGCACAUGAAAGAAACAUCCAUAUUCUGGAUUAACACACCAUGACCACCAGCCAAAGAACAGCUGGGCAUCCUCCCAAGACGACUGGGAUCUGCUUGCUUGGAAUGGACAGAAUUCAGAGGAAUGCUAUGCAAACACUGACAUCUUCCCUCUCGAUCUUUAUUUACAGUUACAAAAUUACAUGUUAUGAGGAAAUUACUCUGAUGGAGAAUUCAAAUGUAAAAUGAAGAAUUAAUAUUACUGCUUUGAAAUGUUUGGCAACAGGGUAAAAAACAUAUUU